CACGCCGUAAACUAUGAUCACUCGCUGUUGGCGACACACAGUCAGCGGCCAAGCGAAAGCGUUAAGUGAUCCACCUGGGGAGUACGGCCGCAAGGCUGAAACUCAAAGGAAUUGACGGGGGCCCGCACAAGCGGAGGAACAUGUGGUUUAAUUCGAUGAUACGCGAGGAACCUUACCUGGGCUUGAAUGCACGGUGCAUGGGGGGGAGACCCUUCUUUCCUUCGGGACUCCGUGCAAGGUGC
rnacentral:rRNA from 1 species